GGCUUAUCCUCCACACCGGAAACCCCUCCGCAUGCUCCUCCUCCCCUACGCCUUUAGCUGAACGCAAAACUUCUUCGCUCUUCAGGCUGCGGUCUGAGAAAGCAGGCUAUGAGAGGCGCUAGACUGGAAUCCUGGCAAUUGGAAUGACUUACUCAAGUAGUGAGAUUGGAAGGAGAAACAAAUUACAGAGCCCCGGACCUCUGCCUUCAAAACUCUUGUUGAUAAGUUGCCUUUAUGGAGCACCUGUUCUGCUUUGCCCUCGGAGAAGACUCAUCAUCAUGCCUUCUACUUCUCUUGGAAUUUGUGUUCACUGUGCCACAAGAUGAACUCAGAUACCAAGUUAGUAGGCACUCCUGAUGUGAACUCUCCAGGAGCACCCCAAAAGAGCAUCACGCUUGGCGUUUCAAACGUGGAAACAGCUUCGGACAACUUAACUCCAGGAGACGCAGCCUCUCUAAGAUGAAAGAUUCUCAAACUCAGUUGACGUCUGCAACCAACUUUCAGAAGAAAAGAACAAAGAACAAACUGAAAGAGGGAAGAUCGUGUAGUCCAUUGCCAUUGCCUUUCGGUAUUGAAUAGCUGCCUCCGGCUUUGCUCACAGAACCGUGGAUCUCCACACCAUCUGGCAUACGAGCAGAAAAUACAAAGAUACAGCGAAUUUCCUUGUCUCUGCCUCUGCAUAUUUUUGUCACAAUCUUCCUAGAAGUUUCUCGUCUUGUACAGGUGUUGUAAGUAACCUUUACUGUAAAUAUCCUUUACUAUGUGACAGGGAUUGUGUUAAGAGCUCUCCUUGCAUCAUCUAAUCCUCAGCACAAGCCUAUGAGGUAGGCACCACUCCUAUGCCUGUUUUACCAAAGAGGAAAUGGAGGCUGAAGGGGCUUGUCCGCAGCACCAGCUAAUUAUAAGUGGCAAGACUGGGACUCAAACCCAGACCAAAUGACCCCCAGACACACACUCUCAACUCCUAGGAUGUUCCCUGGUGGGCAGGGAGUGUGAUAGCUCGCUGUAGUCCUGGGGGUACAGCUUGGGGAAAUGGAAUGAUGGUCACCUCAGUGUUUUCUUAGCUUAACACGAACUCCUUUAAGGCUGUAGCCUGGUGCAGAGGCAAGACAGCCAAACCUCUUAACAUUUCUAAGUAGCCUGAUGACACAGUUGCAUAGAGUAGAGGGAUUCUUUACACAUCACAAAUAACGUUCUUGUAUUUUUAUUUUUUAAGAUAUUCUUUGAAACACAUUUCCUUGCAAGUUCACUUGGAAGUUGUUUAAAAGAUAACAAAAUGUAGGUUCUUUGGGAUUUUCUAUGCAGGCAAUCAUGUCAUUUGCCAAUAGGGACAGUUUUAUUUUUUCUUUUCCAAUUUGUAUGCCUUUCAUUUCAUUUUCUUGCCAUCCUGCAAUGUCUAGAACUUCCAGCACUAUGUUGAAUAAGAGUGAAGAGAGCAGACAUCCUUAUCUUGCUCCCUAUCUUAGAGGGAAAGCACUCAGUCUUUCACCAUUUAAUACAGUGUUAUCUGUGGGUCAUUUGUCCAUACUCUGUAUAAAGUGGAGGAAGUUUCCCUCUAUUCCUACAUUAUUGAGGGUUUUUUUUUUUAUCCUGAAAGGGUUUAUAUUUCUGCACCAAUUAAAAUGAUAAUAUUAUUUUUUUACUUGGUGGAUUACCUUGGUUGGUUUUUCAGUGUUGAAUCAGCCUUGCGUCCCUGGAAUAAACCCCACUUGGCCAUGAUAUGAACAUGUCUACACUCCACAUAUUUUGAUAGACUGUGUUCUCAUGAUUAUUACUCAGGUCAAAAAUAUUUUAUAAUUCCCUUUGUGAAGUCUUCAUUGAUCUUUGGAUUAUUUAUAAUCAUGUUUGAAUUUCAAAUAUUGGAGGAUUUUCUGAUAUCUUCCUGUUAUUUGUUACUAAUUUAAUUCAGUUGCCAGCAGUGACCAUAUUCUGUAUGAUUUUAAUCCUCUUAUAUAUUUUUUAAACUUGUUUAUACUUAGAAUAUGGUUGAAUGUUAAUGAAUGUUCCAUGUUCACUUGAGAAUAAUAUUUAUUCUGCUGUUGUUGGUCGAAUUGUUCCACAAAUUUCAGUUAGGUCGAGUUACUUAAUAGUGUUGUUCAGGUUUUGUUUUUUUAAUUGAUAUGCUUUAUUUUUUAGAGCGGUUUUAGGUUUAAAAGAAAUAGUAAAUUGAAAG